AGGAACAAGAGGUUAUGGUGUUGAUGGAGAGAGUAACAGAGGCCCAACGAUAUGCCAAAAUGGAAAUGAAGGAAGUUCAGGAUAAGAAGGGCAAGAAGAGGAGAAAAACAGAACACGAUGCUGAUGAUACAGAAGAAUCUUUUGGUGUUAAAGACAGAAUGAAGAAAAAAAAUAAACUAAAAAAAUGAGUUAUUUUCAUAAUUAACUGAUCUAUAAAUUUAGUUUUGUACAGAUAUCAUUAAACAUUUGGUACAUCUGAA